AAGGAAACCAUCAGCAGGAGAAGCUCGUGGAAGAGGAAAAAGAGGCAGAGGGAGUGGAAGAGGGAGAGCCACAAGCACAGACACAGGCAGAGCCAGAGGAAGAGGUAUGGCAGCGUAUUUUGAAUGUGGAAGUGGUUCAGGUUCAGGUGUUUGAUUGUUGAAAUUUGUUUCAUUGUGUUAUUCCGACUACUAGGACUACUGGAAUUACUAUAUGUUAUUUGGACUACCUAAAUUACUAGAAUUACUAUGUGUUAUUUGAACUACUAGGAAUACUAGGUUUACUAUGUGUUAUUUGAACUACCUGUAUUUCUGGAAUUAGUAUGUGUUAUUUGAACUACUAGGACUACUUUAGAUUACUAUGUGUUAUUUGGACUACAUAUAUAUUAGUAUGAGUAUUUAUGUUUAGUAUGUAGAAUCGACAU
rnacentral:lncRNA from 1 species